UACGGGGGGUGCGAGCGUUGUCCGGAAUCACUGGGCGUAAAGGGCGCGUAGGUGGCUUUGUAAGUUUGCGGUGAAAGCCCGGGGCUCAACCCCGGGUCUGCCGUGGAUACUGCAAGGCUUGAGUACUGUAGAGGCAGGUAGAAUAUCGGGUGUAGCGGUGGAAUGUGUAGAGAUCCGAUAGAAGACCGGUGGCGAAGGCGGCCUGCUGGGCAGUAACUGACACUGAGGCGCGACAGCGUGGGGAGCAAACAGG
rnacentral:rRNA from 1 species